GACGAACGCUGGCGGCGUGCCUAACACAUGCAAGUCGAGCGAAUGAAGUUCCUUCGGGAACGGAUUUAGCGGCGGACGGGUGAGUAACACGUGGGCAACCUGCCUCAUAGAGGGGAAUAGCCUUCCGAAAGGGAGAUUAAUACCGCAUAAGAUUGUAGUACCGCAUGGUACAGCAAUUAAAGGAGCAAUCCGCUAUGAGAUGGGCCCGCGGCGCAUUAGCUAGUUGGUGAGGUAACGGCUCACCAAGGCGACGAUGCGUAGCCGACCUGAGAGGGUGAUCGGACACAGUGGGACUGAGACACGGCCCAGACUCCUACGGGAGGCAGCAGUGGGGAAUUUUGCACAAUGGGGGAAACCCUGAUGCAGCAACGCCGCGUGAGUGAUGACGGCCUUCGGGUUGUAAAGCUCUGUCUUCAGGGACGAUAAUGACGGUACCUGAGGAGGAAGCCACGGCUAACUACGUGCCAGCAGCCGCCGUAAAAC
rnacentral:rRNA from 1 species